rnacentral:rRNA from 1 species
UACGUAGGGGGCUAGCGUUGUCCGGAAUCAUUGGGCGUAAAGCGCGUGUAGGCGGUCCGGUAAGUCCACUGUGAAAGUCGGGGGCUCAACCCUCGGAUGCCGGUGGAUACUGUCGGGCUUGAGUACGGAAGAGGCGAGUGGAAUUCCUGGUGUAGCGGUGAAAUGCGCAGAUAUCAGGAGGAACACCAGUGGCGAAGGCGGCUAUCUGGACGAACACUGACGCUGAAGUUCGAAAGCGUGGGGAGCAAACAGG